CAAACUUCUAUUGGCUUUCCAUAAAAAUGUCUGUCCGGGUGGAGAUGAAGCCAGGAAACUUGUGCAAGAACAUGUUUAAAUGCCGUACCCUUUGACAAAACAUUGACAACUAUAAACUGCUUUAUAAUGGCUGGUCGUAGUUCUGCUAGAGGGUCAAGGACGGGUUCCUCAAAACUGUUGUGUUUCCACACCACUUAGCAUGAACAUAUGCUGACCUUUCUGCUCUGCAUCUAUCGAUUGAGUAAGUUACAUUCAUAUAUGUUACCCGUUUACAUGUCAUGGCAAAACAUUCAACCUCAGUGACACAAGGGUACAUCUGAUGAUACAUUGUCAACAUUCCAUGUAUGUCAGACUCAAGAUUGUCUGGUGGAAUGGAGAAGAGGCACCACUGUACAGAUUUCUAGGGAAAGUCGUUCUGCUGACACCAAAACACUGCUUUACAUAAAGCAUAUCAGCUGUUUCAAAGUCCCAACCAUUUGUCUUCCUAAAAUACUGGUCCUUCCGUAUAACAAUAACCUCGUAUGUGAUUGGAGGACCCUUAGACUCCUCGUCCAAUCACGUGUGAGGUCAUAGGCAUGACUGAUACAGCAGUACUUGCAAGGCGAGCAUACAAACAGACACGUGUGUUACUAUAUUCAGAAGAACUGUAUCUCCAGUUCCUUUGUUUGGUUUUUGCUGCUUCGUGAAUAAUGGCGGGACGACGUCUCGCGUUCAACUCGCCUUCAACUCCUCUCCGCGGUCACCAACUUUCGGCCAGUCCGCAGACAGACAGAAGAAGCUGCUGAAAGCUCUCAGUGGAUCGUCUCGUCAACUCCAACAACAAACUGCCGAUAUCAACGAGCGGUUCGCUCCACUGGAGCGUUCGGAACUCUGCGGGUUUCUGUCCAUGGAGGAGAGGAACUGACUCAAAGAAGAAGAGACGGGCGCACGAUCCCACGAUAGCGGAAGCGGUGCGCCGUCUUCACAACUCCGAGACGAACUACAGGCGCUACGAAUCGGAGCAAGGACUAAUCUCGCCUCAUAAUGAGGCGGUGACCUCGUAUUUGCUCCGGGAAAAGUCCAGAUUUAGACAACGUAAUUGUGUCCGCCUGUGAGACGUAUUGGGAGACGGGACGCAGGAGCUUCAGGUUCAGCCGGAACACUCAAUGCGGAGUUCAGCGCGGAGUCGAGCGAGAAGAAAGCGGCUGCUGGAAUCGAGACAAAGUGCGCUGGCUGAUGACGAGGUGGAACUCUGGAAAUCCGCCACCGUAGAGCUCACGUCGGACGGAGGGGACGGCGUUGUUGGCGGGGUUCUCGGGUGGAUUGUACGGUCGCCACACGCAGAGCCGCCUGCACAACAGACCUGCCUCGGAAAACACGGCGCCAGUGACGGUCUACAACCCCGAGGAGGCAAACGGACAGUUUACUGAGCUGUAGUUUUUUAAACCGCCGUUACCCAAGUGUGGGCAGAUCCUCACUUUGUAUGUAGUUGUUGUUUGUGUGUUAAUAAAGCUCUUUCUUUGCAUAA
ensembl:lncRNA